rnacentral:tRNA from 1 species
GGGGUUGUGGCUCAGUGGUAAAGCGCUUGCCUAGCAUGUAUGAGGCACUGGGUUGGAUCCUCAGCACCACA